rnacentral:rRNA from 1 species
UACGAGGGUGCAAACGUUAUUCGGAAUUACUGGGUGUAAAGGGUACGUAGACGGCAUCUUAAGUCAAUUGUUAAAAUUCCCCAGCUUAACUAGGGGGUAGGGCGGUUGUAAACUAAGGAAGCUAGAGGAUGGAAGAGAGAAGUGGAAUUCUCGGAGUAGCGGUAAAAUAGCGUAGAUCUCGAGAGGAACACCGAUGGCGAAGGCAGCUUCUUGGUCCAUUUCUGACGUUGAGGUACGAAAGCGUGGGGAGCAAACAGGA